AGAGUUUGAUCCUGGCUCAGAAUUAACGCUGGCGGCGUGCCUAAGACAUGCAAGUCGAACGUGAAAGUAGCAAUAUGAGUAAAGUGGCGCACGGGUGAGUAACAUUUGGGUAACGUACCUUAUCGCUGGGGAUAACCAGACGAAAGUUUGGCUAAUACCGAAUAAUCCGGCAGAAACUGCGGUUUCAGUCGGUAAAGCCGAAAGGCGCGAUUUGAGCGGCCCAAAUCCCAUUAACUAGUUGGCGGGGUAAAAGCCCACCAAGGUUACGAUGGGUAGCUGGUCUGAGAGGACGAUCAGCCACACUGGUACUGAAACACGGACCAGACUCCUACGGGAGGCAGCAGUUAGGAAUUUUGCGCAAUGGACGAAAGUCUGACGCAGCAACGCCGCGUGAGUGAUGAAGGCCUUCGGGUUGUAAAGCUCUUUUAGUUGGGGCGAAAAAAAUGACGGUACCAACAGAAAAAGCACCGGCUAACUCUGUGCCAGCAGCCGCGGUAAUACAGAGGGUGCAAGCGUUAUUCGGAGUUAUUGGGCGUAAAGAGCGCGUAGGUGGCUCGAUAAGUUUGAUGUGAAAUCCCUGGACUCAAUCCAGGAAGUGCAUUGAAUACUGUCGGGCUCGAGUACAGGAGAGGUAGGCGGAAUUCCAGGUGUAGAGGUGAGAUUCGUAGAUAUCUGGAGGAACAACAGUGGCGAAGGCGGCCUGCUGGACUGUAACUGACACUGAGGCGCGAAAGCGUGGGGAGCAAACAGGAUUAGAUACCCUGGUAGUCCACGCCGUAAACGAUGGGUACUAGAUGUUAGUGGGUCUUGCCCCGCUGGCGUCGUAGCAAACGCGUUAAGUACCCCGCCUGGGGAGUACGGCCGCAAGGUUAAAACUCAAAGGAAUUGACGGGGACCCGCACAAGCGGUGGAUUAUUGUGGAUUAAUUCGAAUGCAACGCGAAAAACCUUACCUACCCUUGACAUGCCAGGAACCCUUCAGAGAUGGAGGGGUGCCCGAAAGGGAACCUGGACACAGGUGCUGCAUGGCUGUCGUCAGCUCGUGUCGUGAGAUGUUGGGUUAAGUCCCGCAACGAGCGCAACCCUUGCCAUUAGUUGCUACAUUCAGUUGAGCACUCUAAUGGGACUGCCGGUGACAAACCGGAGGAAGGUGGGGAUGACGUCAAGUCCUCAUGGCCCUUAUGGGUAGGGCUUCACACGUAAUACAAUGGCCGGUACAGAGGGCAGCCAACUCGCGAGAGGGAGCUAAUCCCAGAAAGCCGGUCGUAGUCCGGAUUGCAGUCUGCAACUCGACUGCAUGAAGCCGGAAUCGCUAGUAAUCGCGGAUCAGCAUGUCGCGGUGAAUACGUUCCCGGGUCUUGUACACACCGCCCGUCACACCAUGGGAGUGGGUUUCACCAGAAGUAGUUAGCCUAACCGCAAGGAGGGCGACUACCACGGUGAGAUUCAUGACUGGGGUGAAGUCGUAACAAGGUAACCGU
rnacentral:rRNA from 1 species